AGGAGAAGGAGGAAGGAGAGGAGUGAGGAGGAGGAAGGCUCCGAGCUGGGCGUUGCUCUGGCAACGUCGCGGCCUUCGCCCCGCCGCGGGCCGUGAGGAGGCUGAAAACGCUGGCUGCAUCUCUGUGUCUCUUGGAGGUCACUUGCUGAUUUAUCUCCAAUUCACAGCUCAUUAGAAGGUGUGUAACUCCUCAGAGAUGUUGUUAUUUAACAGGUAUGUUUUCCUAGUCCUAUUAAUGACCUCUGGAUUUAGUAACUCCUGACACAAGAGAGAUUUGGGAGAUUUUCCACAGAAAAUUGGAAGUCUUUU